rnacentral:rRNA from 1 species
CGGAGGAAAAUAAACUAACAAGGAUUCCCCUAGUAACGGCGAGCGAAGCGGGAAGAGCUCAAAUUUGAAAGCUGGCGCCUUCGGCGUCCGCGUUGUAAUCUCGAGACGUGUUUUCCGUGCGGCGCUAUGGACAAGUCCCUUGGAACAGGGCAUCGUAGAGGGUGAAAAUCCCGUACUUGCCAUGGAUGUACCGUGCUUUGUGAUACACGCUCUAAGAGUCGAGUUGUUUGGGAUUGCAGCUCAAAAUGGGUGGUAGACUCCAUCUAAAGCUAAAUAUCGGGGAGAGACCGAUAGCGAACAAGUACCGUGAGGGAAAGAUGAAAAGCACUUUGGAAAGAGAGUUAAAAGUACGUGAAAUUGUCGAAAGGGAAGCGCUUGAAGUCAGCCAUGCUGCGCGGACUCAGCCCGGCUGAUGCCUGGUGUAUUUCCCAGCAGCAAGCCAGCAUGGAUUUGGGUCGCCGGAGAAGGGCACGAGGAAUGUGGCACUUCGUGUGUGUUAAGCCUCGUGCUGGAUACGGCGAGCUGGAUCCAGGAACGCAGUGUGCCUCUGGCGGGUCUUCGGACACCUUCACACUUAGGAUGCUGGCGUAAUGGCUUUAAGCGGCCCGUCUUG